AUGGCUAGAAAACACUUUUCUGACCAGGAGGCAUCACAGGUCUAUGGACCAAACCCUGGCUGCCAGGGACAAAUCUACAUCUGGCUCUGCUGCUUACCUGGGCAAGGUGUUGAGCCUAUUUUUUCAACUGUAAAGGAGGUUUUUGGGAGCUGCGAUAGAGGAAAAUCAGAAACAGAGACCUUGGAAUUAAACUCAAGUCAGGACACUUGCCCUGAAUUUUCUGAUUAUUCAAAGGCAGAUGGAAGAGGUAAGAUGCUGAAGAGAAAAAGAAUCCUGCACCUACCAGAGAUGGGACCACAGGAGUCGCCUCUCAAACUCCUCUUCCCAGGUCCACUAUCACCACCACCUCCCAGCACCACAGCCAUCACCAGUUGAGGAUCCCCAGCAGAGAGCUUCCAGAACAGACUUUUCAAAUAUCUCCCUUCCUUAUAAAUCUUACCUGAAGCUCAUGAUAAAGCUAAAACAUCUCAGCCUGAUAUUCCUGAGUCCUCUAUUGUCCUGUGACUGAGCCCACCAAGAAGUGAAUUCUGAGAACAAUGUAUAUCCUGUAUAAUCCAGGGUUCUCCAGAAAAAUAGAACCAAUAGGGAAGAGAUUUAUUACCAGGCAUUGAUUCACAUGAUUACAGAGGCUGAGAAGGCCAAC
rnacentral:lncRNA from 1 species